rnacentral:lncRNA from 1 species
CUUGCCCUCUGACACCACGCUAGCAUCAGCUAGGCGUCACUUGAGACGGUCCCAAGGUCUGUCGAUUUUAGGCCGGCCUGUGGACUGGCUUGGGCUAGGUGCCAGUCGAUUCCAUGGGCUGGAGUGGAUUGGCUGAGUUUCAGCCUAUUUUUUCCACUAGGUGCCGGCCUAUCCCACCCCCGGUGGACUUGCUCUUAUGGCUUAAAGUUUUAGCCCAAGAUUACUAAAUAAUGAUUUUAACCUAAUUUUUUCUUUUCGGUAACUUUUUUGAAAAUAAAAUUUAUGUAGAUUAUCUUAAUUUAUUUUUAUGACCAUUUUAAUCUAAAAAGAUUUAAAUUUUGAUAAGUAAUUAAAAAAUAUAAAAAUACAUAGGUAUUUAUAAAGUUUUAAGUUAAAUUUGAUUUAAAUUAUUUUCUUAAAUUAUUUAGACUUUAGAUUUAAUUUUGGACCGUCAAAUCUUUUUUGUACCAUUAGAUUUGGUCUCUUUUGAUUACAGCCGUUAUAUUAUAAGUAAAAAAUAAAAACAAAGAAAUUGAAAUAUGACAGUUUAAUGGAUCCAAAAUAAUUUAAGCCAGGUAUAAAUCCUGGGGUAAAUCUAGCUCAGAGAUAUAUUUUCUCCCUAGGGCUUAUUUUAGCCCAAUGGUUAGAGAUGGCUUAAAGGGGUUUUAAGGAUUAUAUUUUAAGCUUUAUCCCAUGAGUUGGAGAUAGUCAUAUGUAAUAAUCCAAUUAUCAACAUUCAUAUCAUUUGUUUUACAAUUUAAUCUCCAUAACAUUACCCAAAACUUUAUUCAUUUAAUUAAGGGAGUUUUAACGAAACACUCCCGGUACUGUUCACUUUUAACGAAAAACUAUAUUUUUAUCUUUCUUGGCUAUUAUUCACUACACAUUUAUUUGUUAUUUUUUAUUAAAACUGUUGCAGUCCUAUUAGAUUAGGAAUGUGAUUGUGUAAAUCCUAGUAUAUCUUGGAAUAUCUCUUAUAUUCCUAUUAAGAGUUAAUUACCUAUUAAAUGUUGUAAUCUGUGAUGCACAAAACCGGAGAGGUCUUGGAACAACGUAAAUUCGACCGUGAAACUUCAAGAAAGUAAAUAACACAAGAUGUAUCGUGGUUCACCCCAAUGUUUGGGCUACGUCCACACUGAUAUUGUAUUUCUCUGUUUGUGAGAGGAUUGUGAGGGAGAUAGAGCUUCUGUUUAGGGUGAGGAUAAGAGCUUCUUUCCCAUGGCCUAAGAAUUGGCCUCCCUUAAUGAGGAAAGUAAGGAGUCAUUUUAUAGAAUAAGGGCUCCUUACUUAUUACAUAUUUGCCCCUUCAUUUAUUACAUAAUUACAUUUGAGUUCCCCGAGUAUUUAUACGAGAUCUAAAUACGGAGGCCCUAAGUAUGGUACAAACAGUAGUCCCCCAAGUCUUCAGUCAAGAGAGUCUUUUGGCUGGAGACUUGAAAAUCAGUCCAUGUGUGGGCUGAAGUAACUAGAUGUCGUCUAGAACUGAUACUCGAUAUGAGGCGGUGCUCAAUCUGAAAUGAUGCUCAACUAGAAGUAGAACAUGUUGAUAGGCUGCUCUGCUUGUGGCUUAUGUUGCCUUGGUUGGCUCGGCUUGUGGCGUUGAAGGUGAGGGAGUCCCUUUUAUAGAAUAAGGGCUCCCUCCUCAAUACAUAAAUGAUGGGCUAGAGUCGAUGCUCGCGGCGAGGCGGUUGCUCAGUGAUAGGAGCAUAUUUAUGCGACUUAAUUGGCUU